GCCUGGGGGGGCCGGGGCUUCAACCCCAGGUCCUGGGUGGAAUCAGCUGAGCUGGGUGGGCCCUGAUCACUUCCAGCUGAGCUCCCUCCAGCCCUCCAGGGCUGCUGAGGAAGCCCCACCCCAGGGAGGGCCUGGGAGAAGUCUCAAGUUUUAAAACACCCUGAACAGGUCCGCAGGCUCAGAAGCCACAAGCUCUUCGGACCAGUGGUCCUGACUGCUUACCCCUGCCCCAUACGGGUCCUCCAGGGCUCCUGAGUGAAUGACCCAGCCAUCACUGGCAGAGUUAAGGUUCUUCCUUGGUCCGUCCGACACCCUGACCCAAGCCUGUCCUGGGAGGCCAGACUGUCCUGCCCCUUACAGCGGGAUUUGGUGUCCUCUGCGCCCCGGCCAUGGAGGAACAGCCCCGAGGAAGCGGAGGCCUUCCAGAAAAGCCGCUCCCCGCCCCUGCUGUCCCCACUUUGUCCUCGUUGGGUGCUGUCUUCAUUCUGCUGAAAUCGGCACUGGGGGCCGGCCUGCUCAACUUCCCCUGGGCCUUCCACAAGGCAGGGGGCGUGGUGCCUGCUUUCCUGGUGGAGCUGGUCUCCUUAGUGUUCCUGAUCAGCGGGCUGAUCACCCUGGGCUACGCAGCCUCCGUCAGCGGCCAGGACACCUACCAGGGCGUGGUCCGAGGGCUGUGUGGCGCCGCCAUGGGGAAGCUGUGUGAGGCCUGCUUCCUCCUCAACCUGCUCAUGAUCUCCGUGGCCUUCCUCAGGGUGAUUGGGGACCAGCUGGAGAAGUUGUGCGAAGCCCUCCUGCCUGGCAUCCCACAGCCCUGGUUCACUGCCCAGCGCUUCACGCUGCCCCUACUCUCCACACUGGUCAUCCUGCCCCUGUCCGUGCCUCGGGAGAUCGCCUUCCAGAAAUACACCAGCAUCCUAGGCACCUUGGCUGCCUGCUACCUGGCCCUGGUCGUGACGGCACAGUACUACCUCUGGCCCCAGGACUUCAAGCACGAGCCCCACCCCUCACAGAGCCCCUCCUCCUGGACCUCGCUGUUCAGUGUCUUCCCCACCAUCUGCUUCGGAUUCCAGUGUCACGAAGCUGCUGUGUCCAUCUACUGUAGCCUGCGCCCGCGGAGCCUGUCCCACUGGGCCCUGGUCUCUGUGCUGUCCUUGCUGGCCUGCUGCCUCGUCUACUCACUGACAGGGGUUUAUGGCUUCCUGACCUUCGGGACGGAAGUUUCCGCUGACAUCUUGAUGUCCUACCCGGGCAACAACACAGCCAUCAUCACUGCCCGGGUCUUCUUUGCCGUCUCCAUCGUGACCAUCUACCCCAUCGUGCUCUUCCUGGGGAGGUCCGUAAUACAGGACUUCUGGAGGUGGAGCUGCUGUGGGGCGCAGGGGCCACUGGUGCUGGCCGACCCCUCGGGGCCGUGGGUUCGGGUGCCACUGACUGCCCUGUGGGUGGCUGUGUCGCUCGCUAUGGUCCUGUUCCUGCCCGACCUCAGCAGCAUCAUCGGUAUUAUCGGCGGUGUGAGCGCCUUCUUCAUCUUCAUCUUCCCAGGUUUGUGCCUCAUCUAUGCUGUGGAUGUCGAGCCCAUAAGACCAAGAGUCAAGUGCUUCCUGGAGGCCUGGGGUGUGGUCUCGGCGCUGCUGGGCACCUUCAUCUUCGGGCAGAGCACGGUGGCCACCAUCCUGGAGCUGCUCUGAGGGCCCCCGCCGGCGUCUGGCUUAAGAGGAGACUGGUGUGGCUGCUGUUAGCGUGAAGAUGCCAGGGCACGGCACCACCGCUCCCCGGCUCACCGGGCUCUGCCUCCCUCGGGGUUCUGGGUGCACCAACUCGAAGUGGCUGCUGCCCAUAAUUGGAAUGUGGCAGGGCUGUGUGCUCCCUCUGGAGGCCCCUUCUUGCCCCUUCUUCCUUCUCUUUCCUGCCGGGAUCCUGGGGUCACCUGACUCAUUGGUUUCCCUCCAGUCUCUGGUUUCAUCUUCACGUGGCUGCCUCCCUGGAUGUCUGUGUUCAGAUUUCCCUCUUGCUGUGACAGUGCUGGACAUUCAGUUAGGCCGCAGCCUAAUUUAGUGUGUUGGCAUCUGGACUUGAUUGUAUCUCAUCUUAAUUAAGAUGUGCAAGAGUCCAGUUUCCAAGUAGGGCCAUGUUCUCUGGGUCCAGGGCUUAGGGCUUCAACUUCUCUUCCUGUGGGUACAGCUCAGCCCUUAAUAGGGUGGGGGUGAGGCCCAGAGAACCAGGCUUUGGAGUAUUGGGAUCAAAGCUACCAGCUGAGCACCUUGGGUGGGGGCACAAAAGGGAAUCUAGGGUGUGUCCCUUGCAGUGGCAGUGGUCUCAAGCUAUGGUCACAAUCCCGUCUAGACCAACAGAGCCCAGUGUGAUGGUUUAGAUCUAAAAUGUACCCCCAAAGUCUUGGGGCCCCAUGCUUGCCAGUAGAUUCAUCCACUGGUGAGAUCAUGGCUGAACGUGGUGGUAGGAGGUGGGGCCUGGUUGGAGGUCACCGGGGAUGUGACCUGGAAGGGUGGAUUCUUGUCCCCAGCUCCUCCCUUCUCUCCCUGCUUCCUGGCUGCCAUGGGUCGAGCCUCUCCCCUCUGCCGGGCUGUUUCUGUCUUGGAGCCAGCCAGCCAUGAACUAAACCCUCUAAAACCGUGAGUCCAAAUAAACCUGUCCUCCUCUAAGCUGUAUCAGGUAUUGUGUCCUAGUGACAGAAAAAUGACUGAUAGAGACAGGAGACGACUGCCCAGGACAGGCCUGUGCCCUUUCUUCCACUCACUGCACCGAAAGCCUAGAACCCGAGUGGAUCAUGGGCCCUGUAGCUCUCGCCUGACCCCUCCCUGACACUGUGCAGUUGUCACACCUGCCACAGUGUGAGAGGGCACAGAGGGUCAUCCCCAGGGCCUCGGAAAGCGGAGUAGUGGGAGUGGGAAAGGUCCCGUGUCCUGCCUUUAACCCCGCCUGGGGCCGUGUCCUGGAUGUUGGUAGACUUGGGCCGCCUUUUCUACCUCGGAUUCACCCUCUUAGAAGCCAGCAAGGUGACAGCCAGGGAGAGUAGAGCUGACGUUCCCGACACUUUCUAUCAUGCAUCGCCUUCCUGUUUAUGUCCUGUGCUGUGUCUGGGACCAUGUGAGGUUAGGAGUGAUAGGCUCAGACUUUUCUUUCCAGCCCAUCCACAUGCAUGCAUUUGAAAAAUGGCGAUGUAAUUUGCAUGCCCUAAAAUCUGCCCCUUUACAGUGCACUGCUCAGUGGUUUCCAGUAUGGUCACAGGGUUGUGUAGCCACUCCCACUGUCUGUUCCCAGCAUGCUUUCAUCACCCCUAGAAGAGCCCUUAGUAUCAGUCACUGCCCAAGUCCCCUGUCCUCAGCCCCAGGCAGCAAGAGUCUGCUUUCAGCCUCUGAGGUUUACCUGCCUCAGCUGCCUCCUGUAGAUAAACUCAGGUGGCACAAGGUCCUGUGUGUGGCUCCCUGUAUGUCACGUGAUGCUUUCAGAUGUAUGCAUUUUGCAGGUGAAAGCCACUGAGGCCUGGCAAAGCCGAGCCUGCCUGUCCUGCAAGGCACAGAGCUGAGAUCAGAGUUGGUUUGGGGCUGAAUUUCGUUGUCCACACUCCAUGCCGAGGAGGCACUGUGGGCUGGACCAGUGUGCCUGGCCCGGGGGAGGAGAGGCGUCCUCUGCCAGCCUCCAUCCUGGCCACAGCGGCAGGGGCAUGCACUGUGCAGUGGCCAGCAUCCUGCCAGCUGUGUCUUUGGUGAAGGCCCUGCUCUCCGUGCACGGUGCCUGUGCCUAGGUCGCCAGCACAUGCUGUUCCUGGUCUCAGCGUCCUGCCUCUGGCCAUAGCUUCCAUCCUCUGUGUCCUCAUCUGGGACUAAGCUGAGGACAGCCCCUCCCUCCAAGGCCAGCCCUGAGGAUGAGCAGAGGGCCACCUGCAGUGCCCUUGGCAGGGAGCCUCGCCUGCCAUGAGCUCCAGGUCAGUGCGGACAAUUCUGCCUGGGUGGAGAGACCCCUGUCUGUCUCUGCUCACUACUCCCAGAAUGGCCAGGUGACAUCUUACACGGGAAGGACCUGAGCUACCUUGGGCAUCGUGGGCUGGUGGGCACCACUGCUCCAGGGGCGCCUGUCCACAGGCUCGGUGGCCCAGCCUGGUACUGCUGGCCCUGCAACCCCGAGUCAUCACCAUGUGCCUCCCGCAGGCAUCCUGGGCUUGGUAUGGGGCCCCGAGAGGAUGUAGAUGGGGCAGCUGCACACAGGUGGAGCUUGCUGUGGGUGAGUUGAUGGGAUUUUGAAAACUGCAGUGAAAUUUGUGACAGCAGAUUGGCCACUCUAGGUGUGCGAUCUGGGGUAUCUGGUAUAUAAGGUGCUACAGCCCUGUCCCCUCUGGCUCAAAACCUGUCCAUCAGCCCAGUAGCCCGGGGUGCCCCAUCAACUGCCUAUCUGUGGAGCUACCCGGCAGGGACAUUUCCUGAAAGUGCAGUCAUAUGUCACGGACACCUUGUUCAGCAGGCCCACCCAGUGUGCCGAGUUGCCACGCGCCAGGCCUUUUUAGGGUUGAAUGUAGUCACCCCGGUGAGCCCACAGGGCGUGGGUUCCAGGGCCCACCGACCUCGAGUCUUCAUGUACAGCGGUGUGGUGUCUGCCUGUAGCCUGCAUCUCCGUAAAAUGACCUGCAGCACCUGAUGCAGUGCAUGGUCACGAGGCUGCAGUGCGCAGGGAGUGAUGGCUUGGAAAGUGCCCUGCACCGGGUCAGCACAGAUGGACACUGCGGGCCUCGAUGGACCUGACUGCAAAGUUCAGGCACUGCAAGGAGGUGGCAGGAGGUGGGGGUGCUGAUCAAGGGAGCGGGGGCUUCCAGGUAAGCUGAGGGGCAGGAGCGAGGCAGGGCCGACUGCAGCAGUGCGGCCCGACUGAUGAGCUCCCCGGGCUCCCCAGGCUCCCCAGGCUCCCCAGGACCUGCCCGCGACUUCCCUCCCCCCAGUCCUCCCAUCCUGUUACCCUCACGGGGAGGGACUUGCUGCUCUCGCCGCCUCUUUGUGCCCUGAGACUUCUGUGGCAGUCUGUCCUGCUAACAGGACAGAAAGAUGGGAGAGGAAGCCACAGAGCUUCCGGAACAGCACUUGGGAUGGGAUGGAAGUGCAGUCGUGGCCCCUGUGUUGUGGGAAUAGAAUUCCGGCUGCGUGGCAGAGGAUGACACCGGCCAGUCUCAGGGACCCCUGGACUCAGAGCUGUCACCACCCCCGUCACGAGGAGGACACCAAGGCCUGGGAGGCCCAGUUCGACUUCCACGGUAAA